rnacentral:rRNA from 1 species
GCCGAAUUCCGUGAAUCAUCGAAUCUUUGAACGCAAAUUGCGCUUCCGGGUAGCCCUGGGAGCAUGCCUCUUUGAGUAUCGGUUACACCCAAUCUUCUAACCUUCUUAACGGAGGGCGACGAAGGUGCAUAAGCAAACUUGAGUGCUUCGGCUAGCGCAAAGCUUGUCGUCACUUUAAAUGAAUUGAAUCCUGCGUGUGGUUAGCGAAUCUAGUUUGAUUCUCCACCGUUGCCUUGCUGGCUGGUAGCUCUCGUAGUUAUCGGCUGGGCUGGCCUGUUGGCGGAUAGGGGCUUCUGCUCUAUCAAUAUCUACUGACAUGUGCUGGUGCGACUGUGGGUGGCUUACUUAAACCUUGUCUGAUCAUACAAUCCAAGCAGGCAGCCAAAGCUGAUUGUUGCUGUCCUCGAAGGCAGCGGCCGGCAAGUGGCGAUCUAUCAUUCAUCUGAUCUCAAAUGAGGUAAGAGGACCCCCUGAACUUAAGCAUAUUACUAAGGGGAGGAAAAGAAACUAACAAGGAUUCCCUCAGUAACGGCGAGUGAAGCGGGAAGAGCUCAACUUGAAAA